CCUGCCCCAAAUAUGGAUCCACCAACUUCAUCACCACAUCAUAACCAAGACCAUUACCCGAUGGUUCUUAAUGCUCCAACUUACCUAUAUAAACAUUGAAAUCGAAAGUAAACCCAUUCAAACUAUCUGCCAACACCCAGAGUUUUAUCGCUCACUUUGUAGGCUUAUUUUUCAUGUAUUGCCUAAUGCCCGACCUAUGUUUAGACUUGACCAUACGCUCAUCCACAGCAAUAUUCUGGCUCGGUUGGUAUGACAUACGGCAACGCCCUUUGAAUGCCGCAAGAAAUUCCUCAAUCUUGCGCAGUUUAUCGCCAGGCUGCUCGACGGCGGGAUCUACCACAUGCAAGAAUGCCAUAAGGGCUUUAUAACGGGUACGGGAAAGUAUCUUCCUUGCCCAGAGACCGUGGUAAAGGGUCUUUGUGCUCCAAUACUUUUCAACGGCUGAGUCCACACGUACCAGAUCAAAAUAAAUCAAAAGAGCAAUCAAAUUAUUUAUUUCAUCAUCAGUCAUUUCUUUCCAAGCCCCCUCCAAAGUGUUGUAUGUAGUAUACCCCCCAGCUACAAGUUUCAUGUAUGCGUAGCUGUUGGUGUGGGCAACAACUGAUCUUAUCAUCUCGGAGGUGAAGAAGAGACGAAAAAACUCUAACGCAGUUGUCAUACCUCUCCGCAAGACUUGCCUACCAAAAUGAAUUCCCUGCGGACGGUUUGGUUGAAAGGGAGGGAGGUCAUUCCUAGUGUCCGCAUCAUCAUACGACUUACUACGUACUAGUAUUGGGAGUACCACCAGCGCUGGCCCUUCCCCUUCCAGCCCUGGCCCUUUCCCUUCCAGCCCUGGCCCUUCCAGCCCUGGCCCUUCCAGCCCUGGCCCUUCCAGCCCUGGCCCUUCCCCUUCCAGCCCUGGCCCUGCCACU